GAUGAACGCUGGCGGCGUGCCUAAUACAUGCAAGUCGAACGGAGAGUCUUUGUAGCAAUACGAAGGCUUCUUAGUGGCGAACGGGUGAGUAACGCGUUGGUGACCUGCCCCAAAGUGUGGGAUAACAGUCCGAAAGGAUUGCUAAUACCGCAUGUGGCCAUCGGGUUUAGAAGCCGAUGUCUAAAGCAGCAAUGCGCUUUGGGAGGGACCUGCGUCCCAUCAGCUAGUUGGUGAGGUAACGGCCCACCAAGGCUACGACGGGUAGGGGGCCUGAGAGGGUGGCCCCCCACAAUGGAACUGAAACACGGUCCAUACACCUACGGGUGGCAGCAGUAGGGAAUAUUGCACAAUGGGCGAAAGCCUGAUGCAGCAACGCCGCGUGAGCGAUGAAGGCCUUCGGGUCGUAAAGCUCUCUUCUGGGAGAUGAGAAAGGACAGUAUCCCAGGAAUAAGUCUCGGCUAACUACGUGCCAGCCGCCGCAGUAAAAC
rnacentral:rRNA from 1 species